rnacentral:tRNA from 1 species
UCUUUUAAAGUAAAAUAAAUUACAUUUAAUUUCGACUUAAAAAAUUUGAUCCUAUGUCUAGAUCUAAAAGAA